UGUGGGUUGCCUAUAUGGUCUUUAGAGAUUCCACUGAGAGGCUUUCCUGACCAUAACCUGGAUUGCCUGCUCUCAGCCGGAGGCAACUUGUGUACUCAUAGAGAUCUACAGGGUGGAGAACUCCAUUAGACUUCCUGGAUAAGAU